UUUACCAAUUCACUAGUAUAUACUGUACAUGUAUUCUCUUAACUCUUAUUGACUCACAGAUUGAUAAAGGAGUGUACAUAUCAAGGAAGCUAUUGUUUGCUGCUAUGCUGUUGAGAGUCAGUGGAUUGUGGACUAAAGGGGAAACUGUCAAGAGUGGAGUGCAUGGUGACUGGCUCUACCAGUGUGGAUUGUGUUUAGAUCAGCCUCAUUGCAAUUCUUCCUAUUCAUGCAAGUCAGUUCAGAGAUAUGGGAGUUUGAUCCCAAUGGUGAUACUUACUUUGAUUAAGUAGUUGAUGGUUUUUGAAGGAUCUCUUCUCCGUUUGGAAGGUACAGUACAUGCAGUGUGUGUAUUGAUGGACACAUUCAUUGCACAUGAACA